rnacentral:tRNA from 1 species
GCCUCCAUAGCUCAGGGGUUAGAGCGCUGGUCUAGUAAACCAGAGGUCGAGAGUUCAAAUCUCUCUGGAGGCA